UCAUGCAUCUAGUUAUUGUCAGGA
rnacentral:piRNA from 1 species